UACGUAGGGUGCGAGCGUUAAUCGGAAUUACUGGGCGUAAAGCGUGCGCAGGCGGUUAUAUAAGACAGAGGUGAAAUCCCCGGGCUCAACCUGGGAACUGCCUUUGUGACUGUAUAGCUUGAGUGCGGCAGAGGGGGAUGGAAUUCCGCGUGUAGCAGUGAAAUGCGUAGAUAUGCGGAGGAACACCGAUGGCGAAGGCAAUCCCCUGGGCCUGCACUGACGCUCAUGCACGAAAGCGUGGGGAGCAAACAGG
rnacentral:rRNA from 1 species